CGCUGGCGGCGUGCCUAACACAUGCAAGUCGUACGAGAAAGUCGGCUUCGGCCGAUGAGUAAAGUGGCGCACGGGUGAGUAACGCGUGGAUAAUCUACCCUUUAGUCUGGAAUAACUUGCCGAAAGGUGAACUAAUACCGGAUAAUAUCCCGGAUUCUCCGGAAACCGGGAUCAAAGAAGGCUUCUGUUUACAUGCUUUUGCUGAAGGAUGAGUCCGCGUACCAUUAGCUAGUUGGUGGGGUAACGGCCUACCAAGGUUAUGAUGGUUAGCUGGUCUGAGAGGAUGAUCAGCCACACUGGAACUGAGACACGGUCCAGACUCCUACGGGAGGCAGCAGUGAGGAAUAUUGCGCAAUGGGGGCAACCCUGACGCAGCAACGCCGCGUGAGUGAGGAAGGUUUCGGAAUGUAAAGCUUGUCGAGCGGAAAAGAAAUGGCAUGGUGGGCUAAUAUCCAUUCUGCUUGGACGGGUACCCGCUAGAGGAAAGCACCCGGCUAAACUUCCGUGCCCAGCAGCCCGCGGUAAUACGGGGGGGUGGCAAGCGUUUGUUUCGGAAUCAUUGGGGCGUAAAAGAGCGUGUAGGCGGCUUUGACAAGUCAGAGCGUGAAAUCCCCUGGGCUUCAACCCCAGGAAAGUGCAUUUGAAACUGUUCGGCUGGAGUAAGGGAGUGGAAAGUGGAAUUUCCUAGGUGUAGAGGUGAAAUUCGUAGAUAUCAGAGGAAACACCGGUGGCGAAAGGCGACUUUUCUGGC
rnacentral:rRNA from 1 species